UAUGUCUGCCGACCAUCACCU
rnacentral:miRNA from 2 species